rnacentral:rRNA from 1 species
UACGUAGGGACCGAGCGUUGUCCGGAAUUACUGGGCGUAAAGAGCUCGUAGGUGGUUUGUCGCGUUGUUCGUGAAAACUCACAGCUUAACUGUGGGCGUGCGGGCGAUACGGGGCAGACUGGAGUACUGCAGGGGAGACUGGAAUUCCUGGUGUAGCGGUGGAAUGCGCAGAUAUCAGGAGGAACACCGGUGGCGAAGGCGGGUCUCUGGGCAGUGAACUGACGCUGAGGAGCGAAAGCGUGGGGAGCGAACAGG